GUUCGGGAAAUUUCCCAAAAUAUAUGAAAGUUUCAAAAUUUUUGUAGUAAAGAUGUAUGUGACAACAAAUUAUUCGGGAAAUGUCCCGAAAUCAUUCUCAACAUUAUUAUUUAUUACAUAUAUGUUGGCAGAGCAUUUUAACAAACAGAUCUGAAACGCAUUUCGGGAAAUAUCCCGACAAAAAUAAACUAAGUACAACAUGUAUAACACAGAUGUCUUCAAAUAUUUCGGGAUUUAUCCCGAAAAUUCAAAUGUAUAUGCUAGACCUCAUGACUAAUAAUUUCUUUUCACAUUUCGGGAAAAAUCCCGAAAAUAUAAAUCUAAUAUCAGACACACACUUGUUACAUAGAUUUUUUUUACCCAUUUCGGGAAAAAUCCCGAAAUAAAAUCUACAAGAAAAAAUUAUGCAUUUUGGUUUUUUAAAC
rnacentral:lncRNA from 1 species